rnacentral:rRNA from 1 species
GACGUAGGGUGCGAGCGUUGUCCGGAUUUAUUGGGCGUAAAGAGCUCGUAGGCGGCUCGUCGCGUCGACCGUGAAAACCCGCGGCUUAACUGCGGGCUUGCGGUUGAUACGGGCGGGCUAGAGUUCGGUAGGGGAGACUGGAAUUCCUGGUGUAGCGGUGAAAUGCGUAGAUAUCUGGAGGAACACCGGUGGCGAAGGCGGCAUCCUGGACCGAGAUUGACGCUGAUGCGCGAAAGCCAGGGGAGCAAACGGG